UACGAAGGGGGCUAGCGUUGCUCGGAAUUACUGGGCGUAAAGCGCACGUAGGCGGCUUCUUAAGUCGGUGGUGAAAUCCUGGAGCUCAACUCCAGAACUGCCUUCGAUACUGACGAUCUCGAGUCCGGGAGAGGUGAGUGGAACUCCGAGUGUAGAGGUGAAAUUCGUAGAUAUUCGGAAGAACACCAGUGGCGAAGGCGGCUCACUGGCCCGGUACUGACGCUGAGGUGCGAAAGCGUGGGGAGCAAACAGG
rnacentral:rRNA from 1 species